rnacentral:sRNA from 1 species
CAGAAGUCGAGCAUAGCCUUCGCAAGGG